rnacentral:lncRNA from 1 species
CCCGCCCCGCCCCGCCCGGGGGCGCCGGCCGGGCCCGCCCUCGGGAAGCUCGGGUGGCGGGCUCCGCUCGCUCCGACCGCCUGUUCGAGGGUUGAUCUGGAACGCUGCGCCCGGCCCGCUGUACUGCCUGCUGUCGCUUAGCUUUUCGUCCUCCAGACCAGGCAGUUCCCCCCUCCCCCUUCCCCGCCGGAGGCGUGGUCCUCUUGGCCCCACUCGGACACCCACACCAAAAUAAGGGCCACCUCUUUCGGGGAGGACCCUCACAGCUGGGCACUGGCUGAAAAUGCACUGGGACGAACGGCCCGGAAGAAGUGAGAUUGGGGGUCAGGAUCCGAGCGUGCGAGGCGGCGAUGGGAGUGCAGUUAGGAAUCCUGACUUCUGGGAGGUCACUGCGCUGGGAAAGAAUUCAACACGGACUUGAAUUUCAUCUAGCUCUAGCAAAGCUUGGAUACGCAAUGAGAACUGACUACAGUGGCAGUUUCUCAGAGCCUUCCAGGAAGAAUUGCUAGCUAUGUACCUCAGGAAGAAGAAACUUGCCCUUCAGAGAAUCAUACGAAGGAGUGAGGAAUGAGGAGGGUAAGUGACCGAAGCACGAUCUUGGCAAAGGUCUCGGCUCAAAAAAGCAAUGGUAA